rnacentral:rRNA from 1 species
CCUACGGGUGGCAGCAGUGGGGAAUAUUGCACAAUGGGGGGAACCCUGAUGCAGCGACGCCGCGUGAGUGAAGAAGUAUUUCGGUAUGUAAAGCUCUAUCAGCAGGGAAGAAAAUGACGGUACCUGACUAAGAAGCCCCGGCUAACUACGUGCCAGCAGCCGCGGUACUACGUAGGGGGCAAGCGUUAUCCGGAUUUACUGGGUGUAAAGGGAGCGCAGACGGCUGUGCAAGUCUGGAGUGAAAGGCGGGGGCCCAACCCCCGGACUGCUCUGGAAACUGUAAAGCUGGAGUGCAGGAGAGGUAAGCGGAAUUCCUAGUGUAGCGGUGAAAUGCGUAGAUAUUAGGAGGAACACCAGUGGCGAAGGCGGCUUACUGGACUGCAACUGACGUUGAGGCUCGAAAGCGUGGGGAGCAAACAGGAUUAGAUACCCGGGUAGUC